rnacentral:lncRNA from 10 species
CGCCAUUCUCCCGUGUUCACGCCAUUCUCCCGCCUCAGCCUCCCGAGUAGCUGGGACUACAGGCGUCCGCCAUCACACCCAGCUAAUUUUUCGUAUUUUUAGUAGAGACGUGUUAGCCAGGAUGGUCUCUAUCUCUUGACCUCGUGAUCCGUCCGCCUCGGCCUCCCAAAGUGCUGGGAUUACAGGCGUGAGCCACCGCGCCUGGCCUUUUAUUUCUAUUCUUUUAGUAGUCUAGAAGAGGACUGCCAUUUAUUUUUAAUGCUGUGUCGGUAAUGCUGCUAGAAAUAUUCUUCACGUGUCAAAUGGUGCACCGAUGCAAGAGAUUUCUACCACGUAAACCCAAAACUGAAGUUGCUGUAUUGUAAGCACCCAAAAAUUUCUGGAUUGUGCUAGGACACAGUAUCUCCACAUCGAACAGAACACUUUCUUCCCUGAAUAUUUCAGGACAUUAAAGUAUCGUUCUGUCAGGUACACACAAACACUUUCUAGAAUCACAUUGACAGCCAGAACAUCUGACAACUGGUGUCCCUACUGGAGGAGAACUUCUCAUUAUUUUAAUCUUUAUAUUCAG